UACGUAGGUCCCGAGCGUUAUCCGGAAUUAUUGGGCGUAAAGAGCAUGUAGGCGGUCUAUUAAGUCUGGUGUGAAAUCUAGUGGCUCAACCACUAAAUUGCAUUGGAAACUGAUAGACUAGAAUACUGGAGGGGCAAGUGGAAUUCCAUGUGUAGCGGUGGAAUGCGUAGAUAUAUGGAGGAACACCAAUGGCGAAGGCAGCUUGCUGGACAGUAAUUGACGCUGAGAUGCGAAAGCGUGGGUAGCAAACAGG
rnacentral:rRNA from 1 species